rnacentral:misc_RNA from 1 species
GUCUCCGUUGGUGAACCAGCGGAGGGAUCAUUACAGAGUUGCAAAACUCCCAAACCAUUGUGAACGUUACCUAUCCCGUUGCUUCGGCGGGCGGCCCGGGCCCCGCGCCCGGCGCCCCCCGGCCCCCCGUGGGCCUCCGCCGGAGGUAAACCAAACCCUUGAAUUGCAUGGCCUCUCUGAGUCUUCUGUACUGAAUAAGUCAAAACUUUCAACAACGGAUCUCUUGGUUCUGGAAUCGAUGAAGAACGCAGC